rnacentral:rRNA from 1 species
UACGUAGGGUGCGAGCGUUGUCCGGAAUUAUUGGGCGUAAAGAGCUCGUAGGCGGUGUGUCACGUCGGCCGUGAAAACCUGGGGCUUAACUCUGGGCGUGCGGUCGAUACGGGCAUCACUAGAGUUCGGCAGGGGAGACUGGAAUUCCUGGUGUAGCGGUGAAAUGCGCAGAUAUCGGGAGGAACACCAGUGGCGAAGGCGGUGCUCUGGGCCGGAACUGACGCUGAGGAGCGAAAGCGUGGGGAGCAAACAGG